rnacentral:rRNA from 1 species
AUUGAACGCUGGCGGCAUGCCUUACACAUGCAAGUCGAACGGCAGCACGGGGGCAACCCUGGUGGCGAGUGGCGAACGGGUGAGUCAUACAUCGGCACAUGUCCUAGAGUGGGGGAUAACGCGUCGAAAGAUGUGCUAAUACCGCAUACGAUCUACGGAUGAAAGCGGGGGACCGCAACGCCUCGCGCUCUUGGAGUGGCCGAUGUCGGAUUAGCUAGUUGGCGGGGUAACGGCCAACCAAGGCCACGAGCCGUAGCUGGUCUGAGAGGAUGAUCAGCCACACUGGAACUGAGACACGGUCCAGACUCCUACGGGAGGCAGCAGUGGGGAAUUUUGGACAAUGGGCGCAAGCCUGAUCCAGCCAUGCCGCGUGAGUGAAGAAGGCCUUCGGAUUGUAAAGCACUUUAAGUCGGGAGGAAGGACUGUAGGCUAAUACCUUGCAGUUUUGACGUUACCGACAGAAUAAGCACCGGCUAACUUCGUGCCAGCAGCCGCGGUAAAAC